rnacentral:rRNA from 1 species
UUCCUACGGGGGGCAGCAGUGGGGAAUAUUGCACAAUGGGGGAAACCCUGAUGCAGCGACGCCGCGUGAGCGAAGAAGUAUUUCGGUAUGUAAAGCUCUAUCAGCAGGGAAGAAAAUGACGGUACCUGACUAAGAAGCCCCGGCUAACUACGUGCCAGCAGCCGCGGUAAUACGUAGGGGGCAGGCGUUAUCCGGAUUUACUGGGUGUAAAGGGAGCGUAGACGGCUGCUGCAAGUCUGAAGUGAAAACCCAGGGCUCAACCUUGGGACUGCUUUGGAAACUGUAGAGCUUGAGUACCGGAGGGG